rnacentral:misc_RNA from 1 species
GAUGAAGAACGUAGCGAAAUGCGAUACGUAAUGUGAAUUGCAGAAUUCAGUGAAUCAUCGAAUCUUUGAACGCAUAUUGCGCUCUCUGGUAUUCCGGAGAGCGUGCUUGUUUGAGUAUCAGUAAACACCUCAACUUCCAUAUCUUUUUUGAAAUGGGAGUUGGACUUGAGUGAUCCCAACGCUUUUCCUCACCGAAAAGUGGCGGGUUACUUGAAAUGCAGGUGCAGCUGGACUUUUCUCUGAGCUAUAAGCAUAUCUAUUUAGUCUGCCUAAAAAACAGAUUAUUACCUUUGCUGCAGCUAACAUAAAGGAGAUUAGUUCUUGUGCUGACUGAUGCAGGAUUCACAAAGACGGCUUCGGCCGACUUUGUAAACUCGAUCUCAAAUCAAGUAAGACUACCCGCUGAACUUAAGCAUAUCAAUAAGCGGAGGA